rnacentral:rRNA from 1 species
CACGGAGGGGGCCAGCGUUGUUCGGAAUUACUGGGCGUAAAGCGCACGUAGGCGGCUUUGUAAGUUAGAGGUGAAAGCCCGGGGCUCAACUCCGGAAUUGCCUUUAAGACUGCAUCGCUAGAAUUGUGGAGAGGUAAGUGGAAUUCCGAGUGUAGAGGUGAAAUUCGUAGAUAUUCGGAAGAACACCAGUGGCGAAGGCGACUUACUGGACACAUAUUGACGCUGAGGUGCGAAAGCGUGGGGAGCAAACAGG